GACGAACUGUUCUAACGUUAUUCGGAAUCACUGGGCUUAAAGGGCGCGUAGGCUGUUUGUUAAGCGGGGUCUGAAAUCCCUCGGCUCAACCGAGGAACUGGGCUUCGAACUGGCAGACUAGAGUGAAGUAGGGGUAAGCGGAACUUGCGGUGGAGCGGUGAAAUGCUUUGAUAUCGCAAGGAACACCGGCGGCGAAGGCGGCUUACUGGGCUUCAACUGACGCUUAAGCGCGAAAGCUAGGGUAGCAAACGGGAUUAGAUACCCCCCGUAGUCCCUGAGCGGGCUGGCAA
rnacentral:rRNA from 1 species